UACGGGGGGGGCAAGCGUCGUUCGGAAUUACUGGGCGUAAAGGGUUCGUAGGCGGCCAACUAAGUCAGACGUGAAAUCCCUCGGCUCAACCGGGGAACUGCGUCUGAUACUGAUUGGCUUGAAUCCGGGAGAGGGAUGCGGAAUUCCAGGUGUAGCGGUGAAAUGCGUAGAUAUCUGGAGGAACACCGGUGGCGAAGGCGGCAUCCUGGACCGGCAUUGACGCUGAGGAACGAAAGCCAGGGGAGCAAACGGG
rnacentral:rRNA from 1 species